CGGACGGGUGAGUAACACGUGGAUAACCUACCUAUAAGACUGGGAUAACUUCGGGAAACCGGAGCUAAUACCGGAUAAUAUAUUGAGGCGCAUGGUUCAAUAGUGAAAGACGGUUUUGCUGUCACUUAUAGAUGGAUCCGCGCCGCAUUAGCUAGUUGGUAAGGUAACGGCUUACCAAGGCAACGAUGCGUAGCCGACCUGAGAGGGUGAUCGGCCACACUGGAACUGAGACACGGUCCAG
rnacentral:rRNA from 1 species